rnacentral:snRNA from 1 species
AUCGCUUCUCGGCCUUUUGGCUAAGAUCAAGUGUGUAGUUUCUGUUCUUAUCAGCUUAAUAUCUGAUACGGCCCUAUUAUGGGUCUUUCGAUAUUAAAUUAAUUUUUGCAACGCGGCGCCGAGUGCGGGGCUUGCCCCACCGGCACCACGGGUCGUCCCGGCAUUGCACUGCCGCCGGGUUCGGCCCUCUUGUG